GGAAUCUUAGCUCAGUGGAAGAGCGCCCCUGCGCACCUCGGUUCGUUGCCGGGAAGGGGAGGACGGAGGUUCGACCCCUCCAGAUUCCA
rnacentral:tRNA from 1 species